rnacentral:tRNA from 1 species
GGGCCUAUGGUCUAGUGGCUAUGACGCCACCUUGACGUGGUGGAUAUCCCCGGUUCGAGAAAAUGCUUCCCAUUUUCCAUUCCCCGUGAGAAUCCGGGUGGGCCCACCA